UCCGGUGGCAUAGUCGUUAGAGCGUCCGCCUCGGAUGCGGGAGGUCGCGGGUUCGAACCCCAGCCCAGUCAU